rnacentral:rRNA from 1 species
UAAAAGUCGUAACAAGGUUUCCGUAGGUGAACCUGCGGAAGGAUCAUUAUCGUAGGGCCUCUGGCCCUGUCGAGAUAGAGUCCUUGCCUAUUUUUUAAGUACCAUUUGUUUCCUCAGCAGGCCUGCCUGCUAAUGGGGACCCUUUAAACCUUUGAUAAACACUGUAAUUGUCUGAAGAAAACAAACAAAAUCAAAACUUUCAACAAUGGAUCUCUUGGUUCUGGCAUCGAUGAAGAACGCAGCAAAAUGCGAUAAGUAGUGUGAAUUGCAGAAUUCAGUGAAUCAUCGAAUCUUUGAACGCACAUUGCGCCCUUUGGUAUUCCUUAGGGCAUGCCUGUUCGAGCGUCAUUUACACCCUCAAGCUCAGCUUGGUGAUGGGCGUCUGUCCCGCCUCCGGCGCGGACUCGCCUCAAAACAAUUGGCAGCCUCUCCAGCGGCUCUCAGCGCAGCAGAAUUGCGUGUCGGACCGCGGAGUGUGCUCUCCACAAGCCCUUUUUCAGCUUUUGACCUCGGAUCAGGUAGGGAUACCCGCUGAACUUAAG